AAGGACCAGCGCUGCUCCGUGAGCUCCUCCCACAGGGCGUGGCCUAAUCCUGGUUCCAGGCUCUGCAGAGAUUCCUCCCACCCCAGUAAUGAGUAGGAUGUCCUAAAAGGCUGAGCAACUCCCGGCGGGUAAGGGCCAGUGGGGAGGGAGCGAGGCCAGAUGUCAUCACUUGUGUGUACGCGGAAGCAUAGAGAACGCAGAAGAGAGGAGGGGGUUGCGAGUGAUUAAGGCAAAGCUGAGGCAGCCUGGUGGGACCUGCCAAGGGCCCUUUGCACGCACAGGUCCAAGGACCCAGAGUCAGGCGCAGGUCUUAAAGCUCCUGGACGUGUCUUCUCCCCAGGUUCUGAGAGCAGCAGGCUGAGGCCGGAACAGGAGCUGCAGGUGUACCUGCUGAGCUACAGGUGGAUGACGAACUUAAACCGAACUCUGGGGCGGGAUCUUAUACCUAUUAUUCUUAUAGUGUUCUUUCUAGUGGAGUCAAAUAGUUCUUGUGGAGUUCUUCCCCUUUUUUUUACUCUCAAUUUUCUCUCUUCUUCUACCUGAGUCAUUUCUAAAUUUCUAUCACCAAUAUCACUCGUUUUUUUCUCCAUCCGCGCUGCUCUGUUUCCUAAACUUUCUGGUUCAUCCUUCAUCUCUUUUAUCGAGUUAUUCAGCUCCAGAAUUUCUAUUUGGUUCUUUUUUAUAGCUUCAAUCUCUUUGAAAAGGUACUCAUAUUGUUUGAUGAUUCUGUUCUUGAGGUCAUUGAAUUGCCUGUCUGAGUAUUCUUGCAUCUCCUUGAGUUUUUUCAGAACAGCAAUCUUGAAUUCUCUGUCAUUUAAAUCACGGUCUUCGAUGUCCUUAAGUUUACUUUCUGGAGAUUUUUCAUCUUCUUUCUGUACUUCCUUGUUACCUUGGUUAUUCAUGAUAUUUGAUGGGUUAUUUGAGGGAAUGAAAUUUUCUUUCUUUUUUUUGAGUGUGAUUCUUUUGUUUAGCAAGUUGAUACGUAGAAGUCUUUCCUUUGUUUUCCUGUAGGUGGUGCUACUGCGCAAUAUUUUGUGUUCUUACCUGCAAAGCGGGUACUUUCGGGAUCUCUGUGGGGCGCUGUUCCCUCAGCGGUGGGAAGUGCCUGUAUUCCUCGAAGAGGUGGGCGUCCUCCCCUUGGUCUUGGGGUACUGCUCCCUGGUGGGUCGAGGCAGGUGAUGGGUCUCCUGGCCUCUGUGUUCCCGGGCUGCUUUCCUGUAACCAGAAGCCACGAGCCGACCGUGUUUUCUGCGCCUCUGCAGCUGCCUCGAUCAGGCUCUGUCAGGAUGGGUAGAGAAGGAUGGGCAGGGAGGAGACCGGCUUUAGGGUCUAUGGCUUAGUUCCUCUCGGUGGGUUUAACCGCAGUGAGCACAGACCACACAGGCUUGAAUGUGGCUUCUGCCCCUUUGCGAUCCGCAGAAUGCGGCCUGCGAUGCCGCGCGGAGGGGCCACCGGAGGGAGGGGGUGGGGCUGCAAUUCCCGCCAUUGCGGCUUUGUCUGCUCGGUGAUGGCGGGUGGUCGGUUCCCGCCACACUCUGCACCGCUCCCCUGUCUCUGAUCCUGGGUUCAGCCUCAGUGUGUACCGGCCACUGAGGGCGGACUCCUAUCUGCACCCCAUGGUCAACACAGUGGGGGAUUUCACCCCGACUCUUCACCGCUGUCGGCGGGCUGGGUCCCCGGUAAGUGCCACCAGUCUCCGACUGUGUCUGUAGCUCCCGUCUCUGUCCUUCCCUCUCCCCUGUGCGCUCAGAUAUGCCUACCUCUGGAUGUCUCGGUGCUCGGAUCUCUCGGACCUGUUUGUGUGUUCAGCGGGGAGUCCUUUCUUCAGCUAUAGCUGUCCAAUUUGUGGCUUCAAGGAGAGAAACCCGAAGGUUUACUUACGCCGCCAUGGUGCUGACGUCACUCCUGGAUUUUCCUAACGUAUAGGAGGUUCUGCCAAUAUGACACCCUGGCAGAAUCGUUGGGAUUCUGAGAUCUGUGGGCUGUUUCUCUCUUACUAUUGAAGUCCAAAACCUAAUCCAUCGAAAUACCAAGUUCUGUAACUUUCAGAGCCAAGUACUGCAGUUUCACUAAUUGCUUUGGAGAAAAAUGCCAGACCCAAAAAACUUAGAAGAUGCAAGGAGAAGGUCAAGGGUAGUUCUUGGUGGGAGGAGCCAGGAGUUAGUGCCAAAUCACCAUCUUGGAACUUUAGGAAUUGUAUAUUUUGAAGAGUUAAAAAACUUCUGGGGCCGGCCCAGUGGCUCAGGUGGUUGGAGCUCUGUGCUUCUAACUCCAAAGGCUGCCGGUUCGAUUCCCACAUGGGCCAGUGGGCUCUCAACCACAAGGUUGCCGGUUUGAUUUCCCGCAA